AAUUUUGGACAAUGGGGGAAACCCUGAUCCAGCCAACCCGCGUGCAUGAUGAAGGCCUUCGGGAUGUAAAGUACUUUUGGCAGAGACGAAAAGGUCCCUCCUAAUACGAGGUACUGCUGACGGGAUCUUCAGAAUAAGCACCCGCUAACUACGUGCCAGUAGCCGCGGUAAUACGUAGGGUGCAAGCGUUAAUCGGAAUUACUGGGCGUAAAGCGUGUGUAGGCGGUUCGGAAAGAAAGAUGUGAAAUCCCAGGGCUCAACCUUGGAACUGCGUUUUUAACUGCCGAGCUAGAGUAUGUCAGAGGGGGGUAGAAUUCCACGUGUAGCAGUGAAAUGCGUAGAUAUGUGGAGGAAUACCGAUGGCGAAGGCAGCCCCCUGGGAUAAUACUGACGCUCAGACACGAAAGCGUGGGGAGCAAAAA
rnacentral:rRNA from 1 species